AAGGCUCCCAGGCAGCUGGGCUGCUGGUCUUCUCUGGCUUUCUGGAGGCUGGGGCAAAGGCCUGAAAGGGAGAGAAGAUUGGCGCUGGGUGCCGGGGCCCCUUUGGCUCCUCACCCUGACGCAUUCUGCCUUCCUGUCUACUAGGAUGACAAGGAGUAUGUGGGCUUUGCAACCCUUCCCAACCAAGUCCACCGAAAGUCCGUGAAGAAAGGCUUUGACUUUACCCUCAUGGUGG
rnacentral:sRNA from 1 species